CUUAUUUGUUGUUUGCAGAGAAGGCUUUACAGUACUUUGCAGUUUACAUACAAUGUUUUUUUCUAACUCUCUUACCUUUGUGAUACUGAUCUAAUGGCUUUAUAAAAAAAAUAAAACAAAACUUUAGCAUUGUGCAAUAAUUCUGACUUCAUGCUAAUCAGAAUGUUAUCUUGUUAAUUACCUGACAUUCAUCUUUAGAUGAUUUGUGGAUAAAUUAUUGUUAUUGACUUUUUCCUUCUGCAGACUCCAUAUCCUAUUUGUUUUUAAAGAUAGCUAACUUAAAUUGAUUAAUUUUCUAUAUACUGAAUACUGUUAAAACAAUAUUGAUGCUUGAUAUAUUUAGUCAUAACUUUCUUAUGUUUUAACCACUGUUCUAACCUGUAUCCACUGGGGGAUAUUUCAAGAAAACAGAUACUGUUUCAAGGGUAAUUACUGAUUUCUAUUCUCAUUAACAUAUAUGUUUACACUUUAGGUUUCCUUGCCAACUGUUGGAUUUCUUUUGAUUCUGCUCGUUGUUCCUUUUUCCUAUGCAUAUACUUCUUUGAGAAUUGGAACUAAAGAGGCAUAGGGCAUGGGAAAAUGGGGCGACUGAGGUACUCCACCACACACUCAUUCUACAAAGCAUCAUUGGGAGGCAUGUGGGGGAAAAAAAUGAAAGCAUAGUAAGUACCUGGUAUAAACAAACAGGUUAAUUGUGAAAUUCUAAGGGUAGAAAAAUGCUUAUUAAUAGUAAUUUUUAGGAAUUUGUAUAAUAUUUACUCAAUUACAAUAGCUGAAUGUUUGUCUCAUGUUAAUACAUUUAUUUAAAUUUCUUGUCAUGGGAGUAAUAAUAUUUAGCACACCCCAUUUAUUCAAUUACAAGAAUCAAUAUGAAUCUGUUAGAGGUUCCUUCUUAAAGAAAUGCAUUGCUUAGGGUUCACUCCUGUAAUCCUUACUCAAGCAAAGCUGCCAUUAAAUUAAUGGGAGUUUUGCUGGAAUAAGACUGCAAAAGUGGGCACUUUGGGUCCAAUCCAAAGCCUACUGAAAUCAGUGAGAUUCUUUUUAUUGAGUUCAAUGAACCUGAACCAGUCAUGCCACUGUUAUGAAUGUUGGUGAUCUUUAAUGGGACUACUCAUGGGAAUAAGGAUCACAGGGUUCUUAGGGUCCGAUCCUGCAAAAUGCCCAGUGCCUCUUGUAUGGUGCUGAGAACACACAGCUCCCACUGAAGUCAUCUUGCAGGAUCAGGCCACUAGUCUGAAAGAAGUAAAGAAAGAUAAAACUCACUUUUUCCUUUGUUUCAUCCACAGGUAUUUGGGAAGUGCAACCUGUAACCCGACUCCAGUAUUUCACUCAGAAGGAAAAUAGCCAUUCAUUGCAGUGCUUUUAUGUCCGUUUAAUUUUAUUUAGUCUUGAUACAGAUAUGUGUUUUCUGGAAAAAGGGUUCAUAGAAAAUGAAAUAAAUUUGAAUGAUAUGUACCACAAGUGAAAUGGAAAUCUAAUAUUUUAAUCAUAAAUCAGAAGUUUGCCUAAUACUGUAUCACAAAUUCUAAUACGCUACUUUGUUUAUUGCUACAUGUUUAUAUAAAACAGGGCCAUGUCAUAUUACAUGGCAUUCAAUUUCUAACAUAUACUGUUAUUAUGCCACACAAUACAGGCUAAUUUAAACUAAGACUUAAACUAAGGUCAG